GGUCGCUUAGCUCAGUUGGUUAGAGCGUGGUGCUAAUAUUCACCUUGUUAACGCCAAGGUCGCGAGUUCGACCCUCGUAGUGACCA
rnacentral:tRNA from 1 species